UACGUAGGGCGCAAGCGUUGUCCGGAAUUAUUGGGCGUAAAGAGCUCGUAGGCGGUCUGUCGCGUCUGCCGUGAAAACCCGGGGCUCAACCCCGGGCCUGCAUUCGAUACGGGCAGACUAGAGUUCGGUAGGGGAGUCUGGAAUUCCUGGUGUAGCGGUGAAAUGCGCAGAUAUCAGGAGGAACACCGGUGGCGAAGGCGGGACUCUGGGCCGAUACUGACGCUGAGGAGCGAAAGCGUGGGGAGCGAACAGG
rnacentral:rRNA from 1 species